CCUUCGAUAGCUCAGUUGGUAGAGCGGUGGACUGUAGAAAUGAUUGGAUUCGAUGAAUCACAGUAAUCCAUAGGUCGCUGGUUCAAAUCCGGCUCGAAGGA
rfam:Culex pipiens quinquefasciatus supercont3.268 genomic scaffold, whole genome shotgun sequence.